rnacentral:rRNA from 1 species
ACGGAAGGCAGCAGUGGGGAAUAUUGCACAAUGGGGGAAACCCUGAUGCAGCGACGCCGCGUGAGUGAAGAAGUAUUUCGGUAUGUAAAGCUCUAUCAGCAGGGAAGAAAAUGACGGUACCUGACUAAGAAGCCCCGGCUAACUACGUGCCAGCAGCCGCGGUAAUACGUAGGGGGCAAGCGUUAUCCGGAUUUACUGGUGUAAAGGGAGCGCAGACGGCGAUGUAAGUCUGAAGUGAAAGCCCGCGGCUCAACUGCGGGACUGCUUUGGAAACUAUAUUGCUUGAGUGUCGGAGGGGCAAGCGGAAUUCCAUGUGUAGCGGUGAAAUGCGUAGAUAUAUGGAAGAACACCGGUGGCGAAGGCGGCUUGCUGGACGAUAACUGACGUUGAGGCUCGAAGGCGUGGGGAGCAAACAGGAUUAGAUACCCUGGUA